rnacentral:rRNA from 1 species
GACGAACGCUGGCGGCGUGCCUAAUACAUGCAAGUAGAACGCAGUUGCGAACGGGUGAGUAACGCGUAGGUAACUGCCUCAUAGCGGGGGAUACCUAUUGGAAACGAUAGCUAAUACCGCUUACUGUGAGAUGGACCUUCGUUGUAUUAGCUAGUUGGUGAGGUAAAGGCUCACCAAGGCGACGAUACAUAGCCGACCUGAGAGGGUGAGAGGGCACAAGGGGACUGAGACCAGGCCCAGACGCCUACGGGAGGCAGCAGUAGGGAAUCUUCGGAAAUGGACGGAAGUCUGACCGAGCAACGCCGCGUGAGUGAAGAAGGGGUUCGGAUCGGAAAGCUCUGUUGGUAGAGAAGCGGUAACUAAACAGAAAGGGACGGCUAACUACGUGCCAGCAGCCGCGGUAAUUC